rnacentral:tRNA from 5 species
GCCGGUGUAGCUCAGCUGGUAGAGCAGCGCAUUCGUAAUGCGAAGGUCGGAUGUUCGAAUCCUCUCACCGGCACCA